rnacentral:misc_RNA from 1 species
GGUACAAGAAAAAGAAAGCAAAAGCAUUCAAUAUUUAUUUAUUGGAAGUUCUUUCCAUGACAUACAAAUGGAAGGAACAAAACACACAAUAAAAAAAACUAUAACAAUAUAAAACUCAAGCAAAACUCAAGUUUAUGAUCUAACUUUUUUUUUAAUUGUCUCAGCUAAAAGUUUAAACUUUUUAGAAAUAGAACACACGUAUAUAUAAUUAUAUAAUAUCACAACACGUCAUGAUUAUCUCUCACGUGUGGAUCUUUGAUUCAUAUUUCAUCACUUAAGCGUAGACAGAAGGAUUAGCGAGGAGGUACGCUUCGAUGGCCUUGAAUAGGUCAAUGGCUUUCCCUUUGCCUACAUUGUGUUCUUCUUCACUAACAACAUGAUCACCCUUUGUGUGAUACUCAGUUGUUGUCUUGCAAACACAACCUCCAUCUCCAGCAGCUUCAAAUUUGACAUCAUAGGCAAUUGAUUCCAAUUUGUCACCAAGAACAUCACCUUCAAUAAGUGAAUAUUUUGUUACCAAAUUCUUGUCAUCAAUCACAUGAAUCUUGUGCUUCAAGUACUUAAUUGGUCCACCUUCAACAAAGUUCAUUUGCUUGAUGCUUCCAGCACCACCAUCUCCCUCAACAAUCUCAAUGCUCUUAACAUCAUGUGACAACAAUUUAGGUACAAGGCUAUCAAAAUCAAGAACCAAACCUUUGAAUAGCCUUGUUGGGGCAAUUGUGGUUGUGGACUCAUGAGUAAAGGUGUUUACACCCAUAAUGUUUGAUUAAGUAUUUAUAUUUUGAAAGAAAAAAAGAUAUGAAAGAGAAAGGAUAAGAUGAAUA